rnacentral:rRNA from 1 species
UACAGGGGGUGCAAACGUUGCUCGGAAUCAUUGGGCGUAAAGCGCACGUAGGCGGUUCGUUAUGUCGGAUGUGAAAGCCCUUGGCUUAACCGAGGAAGUGCAUCCGAAACUGGCAGGCUAGAGUACUAAAGAGGGUCGGCGGAAUUCCCGGUGUAGAGGUGAAAUUCGUAGAUAUCGGGAGGAACACCGGUGGCGAAGGCGGCGACCUGGGUAGAUACUGACGCUGAGGUGCGAAAGCGUGGGGAGCAAACAGGG